CAUUUCUACAUAAAAAGUGACCAAAAAUUUCGAAAUUUACUGGUGCGUAGUUUGACUCUCCCCCGGCUUUGGAGGACCGCUGCCAGACCGCUUGAUCCUUAUUGCACACAGGUGGAUACUGAAAAAUCAUUGAGUCGCAAAUUUACAUGUUUCCGCAUAUACUUCGGCCGGCUGGUUCCCGUUCUAAGAUCUUCAAAUGCUAAGAAAAAACCUUUGAAGAGCAAUUUUGGUGAACUCUCUUAGAGGUGGUGGGUAGAAAGCAAUGGAACAGUAAGGUGUGCAUGAAAGCUUAUUUUAUUGAAUAGAAUUGAACACGUUCACAUUGCAAGUGAUGGACUAUCAGCUGUUAGCUGCUCGAUGCCGUUGCAAGUCACCUGACCCUGGGGCCAGUGUUGCCAACCUGUGCUGGUAAACACCAACCCAGGCUAUCCAACAACUCCCCUAAUUCUAUUUUUGACUUGCUGGAUAGCCUGGGUUGGUGUUUACCAGCACAGGUUGGCAACACUGGCCCCAAGGUCAGGUGACUUGCAAUGGCGUCGAGCAGCUAACAGCUGGUAGUCCAUCACUUGCAAUGUGAAUGUGUUCAAUUCUAUUCAAUAAAGUAAGCUUUCAUGCACACCUUAGUGUUCGAUUGCUUUUUACCCACCACCUCUAAACACUGAACAUUAGGUAGUCACGCCCACCUUAGAAUUGCUCUUCAAAUGAGCCGUUAAAGCGGCAUAUUCCGAUCAAAAAGCGCAAGGUUUUUUUUAUUGGUAGUGGACUUAAAUAAUUGCUUGGCAUGCAGUGAGGUACGGUUACUAGUAUUACACUUCAUUUGGAAGUUAGAUACGUCAAAGGAAUUGGUCACCGUGGUGACGCAACUUCCAUUGGCUCGGAGCGAAAUCUCCAAGUUGGCCAGAUUCGGCAAUCCCCUUAUUUCUUGUUUUCUCAUUAUCCUGUCGGUUUUUUCUUCAUCGGCAAAGAUAAGCAUGUAAGAUUUUUUGCCGUCUCAGACUUGGUACUCUAACCAACAAUUAUACAAAGGCUGUCCCAAAAACGGUUGUCUACCUUGUUUCAAGAACUGAAGGAGAUAUCCACAUGCAGCACAGGAAUCACUGAUCUGAUCAGAGCUACUUUGUUAAAGUAAACUGUCCGAAAACGGAAUCACCUGGUGCCCAGUGCUAUGUGUUCGGUUCUAUUCGCAUUAUUGUUGACAUGGGUGUUUAUUUAUAAUUGCCCA
rnacentral:lncRNA from 1 species